AACUGAGCCUACACUGUCAAGAAAAGCCUCGUUGCUAAAAUGCUAAGCGCCUGUACCGCAAACCGCCACUGGUAGGUGGGGAUAAGAGUCCCAAGGUGUUCGAGAGAACCCUCGUUAAGGAACUCGGCAAUUUUACCCCGUAACUUUGGGAGAAGGGGGCCCGUCUGAGAAGGCGGGGACACAAAAUUGGCCCAAGCGACUGUUUAACAAAAACAUAGGUCUCUGCUAAAGCGAAAAAGCUGAAAUAUAGGGGCUGAUACCUGCCCGGUGCCAGAAGGUUAAGGGGAGAGGUUAGGAUGGUGACAUUCAAAGCCUUGAACUGAAGCCCUGGUGAACGGCGGCCGUAACUAUAACGGUCCUAAGGUAGCGAAAUCCCUUGUCGGGUAAGUUCCGACCCGCACGAAAGGUGUAACGACUUGGGCGCUGUCUCAACGAGGGGCUCGGUGAAAUUGCAAUGGGGGUGCAGAUGCCCUCUACCCGCGACAGGACAAAAAGACCCUGGCAGCUUUACUAUAGCUUGGCAUUGAGCUUAGGCUGAGCAUGUGUAGGAUAGGUGGGAGGCUAAGAAGCUGGGGCGUCAGCCUCGGUGGAGCCAACGGUGAAAUACCACUCUUGUUCAGUUUUGGUUCUAACCCGUUGCAAGACGGGGACAAUGUCUGGUGGGUAGUUUGACUGGGGCGGUUGCCUCCUAAAAGGUAACGGAGGCGUCCAAAGGUUCCCUCAGCACGGAUGGAAAUCGUGUGUUGAGUGCAUUGGCAUAAGGGAGCUUAACUGUGAGACCUACAA
rnacentral:rRNA from 1 species